UACGGAGGGUGCAAGCGUUAUCCGGAUUCACUGGGUUUAAAGGGUGCGUAGGCGGUUAUUUAAGUCAGUGGUGAAAGCUCAUUGCUUAACAAUGAAACUGCCAUUGAAACUGAGUAACUUGAGUAUAGAUGAAGUGGGCGGAAUACAUCAUGUAGCGGUGAAAUGCAUAGAGAUGAUGUAGAACACCGAUUGCGAAGGCAGCUCACUAAUGUAUAACUGACGCUGAGGCACGAAAGCGUGGGUAUCGAACAGG
rnacentral:rRNA from 1 species